ACAAAAAGUAAGUAAGGGCACAUGGCGGAUGCCUUGGCUCUCGGAGGCGAUGAAGGACGUGAUAAGCUGCGAUAAGCUGCGGGUAGGUGCAAAUGACCUUUGAUCCGCGGAUUUCCGAAUGGGACAACCCGACAUUCUGAAGGAAUGUCAUCCUGCUUGGCAGGAGGCUAACGCAGGGAACUGAAACAUCUUAGUACCUGCAGGAAAAGAAAAUAAACAAUGAUUCCCCCAGUAGUGGCGAGCGAACGGGGAAUAGCCCAAACCAUCCAUGUUACGGCAUGGGUGGGGUUGUAGGACCACGCCGUGGCAAGAAAGUUGGUGAGCAGAAUGUUCUGGAAAGUACAGCCAUAGAGCAUGAGAGCUGCGUAUGCGAAGCCAAGCGAAGCCUAGUGGUAUCCUGAGUAGCGCGGAGCACGAGGAAUUCUGCGUGAAUCUGCCGGGACCAUCCGGUAAGGCUAAAUACUCCCGAGAGACCGAUAGUGAACCAGUACUGUGAAGGAAAGGUGAAAAGCACUUCGAACAGAAGAGUGAAAUAGUCCCUGAAACCAUGCGCCUACAAGCGGUCGGAGCAGCUUAUGCUGUGACGGCGUGCCUUUUGCAUAAUGAACCUACGAGUUACUUUUUCCGGCGAGGUUAAGGAUUUCAGAUCUGCAGCCGAAGCGAAAGCGAGUCUGAACAGGGCGUAUAGUCGGAAGGAGUAGACGCGAAACCAAGUGAUCUACCCUUGGGCAGGUUGAAGGAUGGGUAACACCAUCUGGAGGACCGAACCAAUAAGCGUUGAAAAGCUUCUGGAUGACCUGAGGG
rnacentral:rRNA from 1 species